CUUUUUUUCACCGUGAGAAAAUGCUACCCGCGUGUGUACCCGCGUACAAUCCCGCCCGGCAAUCAAGCUUGCGUCCGUCAAUCACGCUUUCGUGCGCGUCAAAAUUGGCCGGCCAUCCACCGAUCCGGCGAUCCCCCUUGCCCAAUCUUCUUCCGCGUCCGGCGCCCUUCCUAUCGCGGUAUCGCUGCUCCUCUCCGCUGCUCCCAUCCUUGGCCAAGCGCGAUGGUGAACAAGCGGACCCGACGGGGAUGGAAAUGCAGCAACAGAGGUCCUCCCUUUCUUUCUCCGACUCUCCUUCCCAUCCACAUCGCCUCGGCGGCGACUACGGACACGGGUCGAGGCGUUCGUUGCCGACGGCGGCUCCGGUGGACGGCCCAUCCCUGAGAAGGUGUUCACCCCUCUCGCUACAGAUCCACGGGUGUAGGAGAAGUGGAACGGCAGCGCCUCCCCUCCCCCAACGGCGUCGUUCCUCUCCUUGCAGCGAUGCCCGGCGGCGGCGGCGGCGUUGGCCCAUGGGCUUCCACAGCUGCUCCCUCAGUGCAGGAACGGAACUACAAAAGCCUCCUCCAUGCAUCCGAUGCUACAGACCUGUUGAAGGACCAUCAGAACACGGGCAACAACUUCGAGGAUGACCGUGAGGUGCCUUGGCUGAAGCACCGGCUCUCAUCUUCUUCGCUGGAAUGGAUUUUGCUGGAGAUGGCCUCCCAAUUCGUCGGAGAGCUGCGUAUCAUUGUAUUAAGAUGAAAAGAGUUUUACAACCGUGCGAGGGCAAGUCUUAGGACAAGUCUCACGUUCAUAGGUACCAAUCCAGCACCAAAGAGAAGAAGAGAUUACAUGCCUCAAAAGGCCAACCCUCUCUCGUACUACUCCUGUUUGAGAUAACCUAAGCAUCGUGCGCCCGCGUGAAUCCAUAGCUGCGCAUCAAGCUUGAGACUUUUCUAUUUGCAAUGCAAAUGGUGCACAGACCAUGGUUCUAAUUAUUCUCUCAGUCACAGGAAUUGAAAAUAUUGAUCCACAUGAGCAACUUCGAUAGCAGAGACAUCCAAAAUUCAUGGAUGUUCCGCCUCUGGCGGCGACUUCUUCUUCCCCGUACGAGAUGUCGCAUUCAGGCUUCAUUUUUCCCUGAUUUUUUCAAUCCAUAGCCUGAAUGCAUCAGUAAUAGGAUUCACAACAAUGACUAGAAUAUUCUGACGGAGUAGAUGCAAUUUUUAUAUUUGUCAAAGGAGCAGCACUUUCAUAUGUCGAGCAGCAACAAUAGAUUUACUGUUGGUGGUCUUCAAGAAAAAAAAGGCUCCUUGUGCUCAAUAUGAUGUUUGUCGUGCAAUUAUGCUUUUCCAAUACUCAUUGUCCUAGCAUGAAUUUGAUUCCAUCUUCAACCUAAAAACCUCGAUUAACCACUCUGUUCUAACUUCUCUGCAGCGGCAGCCUCUGGAUCUGUUGGACCUAUUUUUUUUCUUUUUUCUUUUCCACGGUUUAGUUUUCAGAAGUCCAAUAGCAGCAGAAGUGGCGGCAACGGUAGUAGCUCCGGGACCUAUUGGCUUUCAGAUUAUCUACCAUUAUGAUUGCAUCAACAACUUGGCAUUCUCUUUCUGACUUUUAGGAGCAAGCCCACCAUAGCAGGGAUAUUCAUAUAUCAGCUUGCGCAGGUACACAGCAUAGGAUCAGCGAGCUUUCAAGUGUUAGCUUCAUUUAUUUUCAUGUGAAGACCUGAUUUCAAUAAGGUGGAGCACUCAUGUUCUCUUGCAUAUGGUACGAACACAUCGCAGGGGCGAAAAAGAGCUAGACCCAGCGCUGAUCUUCCCGUCACAGGAAUUGAAAAUAUUGAUCUACAUGGGCAACUUCGAUAGAAGGGACAUCCAAAAUUCAUGGAUGUUCCGCCUCUGGCGGCGACUUCUUCUUCCCUGUACGAGAUGUCGCAUUCAGGCUUCAUUUUUCCCUGAUUUUUUCAAUCCAUAGCCUGAAUGCAUGAGACUGAAUUACCACACCACCAUCUUUUGCACCUCCACGAGGCAAUGAGAACAUGACAGCCUAUGAUACAACCAUUCGAGUAAAUCAGCAGAUUAGGGAAGACCACUCCGACUCCACUCAUGUUCAUCCCUCAUCAAAUUUUGCCGAAGCACAUAAACCAAGAAGCUGUACAGAAUGAUAGAAUUUUAGGAAAUAAAGAGGCAUCAUAAUAGUUUUAUAAUUGCAUGGGCAAAUUUCACCUGUAUUUCAAUUUCAUUUAUUUUGUAAAAUUCAAAGGUAGGACAUGAUCAUGAAAAGGGUAGAAGCAUCAAUUCUGCAGCAUUCAAUGGUAGUGUAAGGAUUGUUUGAUCUCAAUAACAUAGCACGGAGUUGUAAACAUUAUUGUUAGUUUAUUAUACCUUAGUGUCUAUGAAAAUAGUUCUGGUAUUGGGUAA